rnacentral:rRNA from 1 species
AGGAUUAACUUUAUGGCUAGUAUAUAAAGAGACUAUUAUAGAAUAUAAAAGGCUGUAUAUUAAACCAUUAGUACCGUAAAAAUGAUGGAGUAAUUUCCAUUUAUUAGGGAAAAUGGUAGAAGAAUUUCUAUAAAAAAAACGAAGUGAAUUGAAGUAUCUUAUUAGCUUCAGGAAAAUAAAUCAAACGAGAUUCUAUUAGUAGUGUGAAUGAAAAUAGAUAUAGGCUUAAAGUAAAAUGGAUUAAUCUGUUUGAAUAUAGGGGAACCUUCCUCUAAGCCUUAAUAUAAUAUACAAGAAAUAGCGAAUAGUACUGUGAAGGAAGUAUGUAAAAUAGUAGUCUUAUAAGCAGCUCAAGGUAAGUUUAAUAAACAUAUGAGAGCGUACCUUUUGUAUAAUGGGUCAGCAAGUUCUAGUUAGAUGCAAGCAAGUAGUGAUUAGUGGGGAUAUAUUAAAUUAGAAUAGAUAUCAACAAGAUAGACAAUCUAAUAAUAUAAAUACACAAAAAAAAAUCAAUUUGCCUAGAUAAUCCAAUUAUUAAGUAAUGAAUUAGUAUCUAAUUAGAGACCCGAAGAGUAGUGAUCUUACCAUGGUCAGGCUUAUAAAAGGCCGAAUGGGUAAACUAAAGAAAUGAGCCUCUUUAUUAGCUCAAGUAGAAGUGAACCUUCUGCUAAAGAUCGUCAAAUUGACGGGAAACCCCUAAAGCAAUCUUAACUAACUUAGCAUGGUAACAUAGCUAAGGGCGCAGGUAAUGACUCGCGAGAUAGUAAAAUCAAGAUUGAUUACGAAAGUGAAUGGGCAAUCCGCAGCCAAGCAGCAUAAUAGUUUUAUUAUGGUGUGCAGUUCAUCGACUAGAUGGUGAUCGGCGAAAGCUUAAGAUAUAGUCAAACCUCUGUGGAAACACAGCAGGAUAAUAUAAUUUUAUGAAGUUUAUAGUAUAGAUUUACAACAAUUUUCUUGGACGUUAUUAUUUUAUUACCUUCAAAUUAGUUAAUUUGAAUAAUAGUCGAGUAAAUUAUAACAAAUAUAUACCCGUAGCAGCUACAAGCAAGGUACACCGUAGAAAGGUACUCGGGCCACUGAAAGGCUAGCACCCUAACUCAGUGAUAGAAUAGAUUUUUGAAAUCUUGGAAUAUUGUUCCUAUGAAGAUGUACUUAAAAGAGAGCAGUAUUACUUAGAUCUUUAUAAACCUCAUUACAAUAUAGCUACCAUCGCAGGGUCUACAUUAGGAUAUAAACAUUCUCAAGAAUCAUUAGAAAAAAUGAGAAACAUUAUUCUAAGUGAUGAAGUAAGAGAAAGAAAAAUACUUUCUACUGUUAAUGCUUCAAUAGCUAAUAGAUUGCCUAUUCCCCUGCGGGGAAUCCCUUUAGGAUUCCCUAAGGGGAAUCCCGCAAGGGAUUAGUGUUAAAAAUAUCAUAACUAAUGAUGUGACAAAUUAUGCUAGCAUGACUGAGGCUGGUAAAGCACUAGGUGUGACAAGAGCUACAGUAAGUCAAGCAUUGUCGCACAAUAGACUAAUUAAAAAAACGUAUUCUAUCUGUAAAACUAAAUAAAAACUUCCAAAAAAAUAAAAUUAUGUUAUCUGUUAAAUGGAUAGUAGUAAAAUACUAUUUAGGGAGAAAAGUCUCAGCUCGGCCUACGUUGAAUUAAAGAAAAUUCAACGGCCAAAGAGAUAAUUUGUAUCGUUGUAAAGAUAUCCAAAGAACUGUGGUAAGUUAGUGAAAGACAAUCCUGACUACUAUAGCUGGUUUUCCGCGAAACAUAUGUAAGUAUGUAGUUUAAAUAACAUCAUAGCAGGUACAGAACUGUGAUCUCGGACAAUUUGUGCAUUAAUAUCCUAUUAGGGUAUAUAAUGCCUUGUGCAUAUGGGGGGGUCGUGAAGACUCUAUUCGCGAGUAUUUGCUCUCGGAAGGGCAAUGAUGAGUGUUGAACUAUCAGACAUUUAACGAUAAGGUUGUAUGUCAAAAGGGAAACAGCCCAGAACAAGUGUUUAAGGUUCCAAAGUUUUUGUUAAGUGAAAGUAAGGAAGUAUUUAAACUAUACAACCAGGAAAUAGGCUUAGAAGCGGCCAUUUUUUAAAGACCUCGUAACAGAGCACUGGUUCAAACGGUUAAUUAGUUAACCUUAUAAGUUAAAAGCGCCGAAGAUAUAACGGAUCUAAAACAAAACACCGACACCUUGUCCAUAAUAAUAAUAUUAGGUUAAAUCCGGCUCCGCAGGUUUAACCUGCGGAGCCGGUUAAAUCCUAUUUUAAUAUACUUAAAGGUUAUUUAAGUAUUAUUUAUGGGGUAGCGGAACAUUGGGUAAAUAGGAUUAAAAAUAGGUAAUAAACCCCUUAGAAUCUUUUUUAAUGUAUAAAAACUGGAUUAAUAGAGGGGAAGGAUACACCUAUUUUCAUUAUUACAUCUGUAAUUUGCUCGCUAAAUUGCGGGUUUCCAUAAAUAUCCCAAGUGAGAAUGCUGACACGAGUAACGAAAAAGAGGAUGCCCCUAAAAGGCCCUCUCGCCUUAAGCUUAUGGGAAAGUUAAUCGGUCUCUAAAUUAAACCUAAAGGAUAAAAUGAUGAGGAGAUUAUAUGUGACAACAUAAAGAAAUUGAGUAAAAUGUUCUGGAAAAGCAUAUAGUCUAAGGAUGUAGAUAAAAAUACUAUCCUUUGGGAUGGCCCCUAUAAGGGCCAGACCUAAAGGUUAGUCCCCUUCGGGGACUAGUAAAUAAACUAGAGAGAUAUUACUAGGCAUCCUUAAACAUAUAAAACCGUACCUAAAAACUACCACAAGUAAGCUAGUAGAGAAUACGAAGGCGUUUGAGCUAACAAUCAUUAAGGAACUCGGCAAAUUGACACCGUAACUGAGGGAGAAGGUGUGCCAUUCCUACUGAUUAAUAUCAGUUUAGGAAGAGGAGACAUAAAAUGGUGUUGCACGACUGUUUAAUUAAAACACAGCACUUUGCGUAAGAUGUAAAUCAAUGUAUAGAGUGCGCUAUCUGCCCAAUGAUGGCUGGUUAACGGAUUUACUUAGACGACUAAAAUAGGCUAGGUUUUGAAGGAACCCCCAUUUAAUGGCGGCCUUACCUAUGAGGGUCCUAAGGUAGCGAAAUACCUUGGCAUUUAAAUGAUGUCGCGCAUGAAUGAUCUCACGAUGCAACAGCUGUCUCAAUGAUUGGCUCAGUGAAACUGGAAUGGCAGUGAAGAUACUGCCUAUCUCUAGAUAGACGAGAAGACCCCAUGCAGCUUUACUGUUACUAGUUAUAGGGUAUAAUUUAACAGGUUUUAGUGAAUAAGGUAGUUGAACGACAAAAUUGAAACACCUUUACUCUGGUUGUUAUAUCAGUAGAAUAGGUUACAUUAUUGUAACUGACGUCUGAAUGUAAUCCAUAAAAGGAGGGAGAUUAUAUCAAGCUCAGGAGACAAUGGCUAGCAGAUGGUUUAUGCGGGGCACAGAUCCCAUAAAGAGUACCUGGGAGUAUCCAAAUUUAUUUUUGUAAUAUGCUAUACGCAAAUUAUAUAGGGCUUUUAUUAAAUAAUUGCCUUGUAUAUUUUAAUUUUUUAAUUACUAUAUUUAGUUUGUUAUUUUUUAUAUUUACUUUUAUAAAGUAUCUAUAACUAAUUCAGUUAUAUUUCUAUUUAAGUUAGAACUAAAACAAUUUAAUAUAAGUAAGAUUUUACCUAUGUGGAAAAUAGGUGUAUAUAUAGUAUUAAUAAUGAAUAUCUAAUUGUAAAAAAGAUAUAAUUAUAACACUAUUAGUUAUUUUUUUUAGAAUACCUCUAUAAGAAAUGAUGUUGAUAUAUACUUCCAAAGUUUAAUGGCUUAAUCUUGCUUUACUGUUUGACAUACACGUCUAUCAGUUGCGUAAGCAGGGCAUAAAGACCGCAAGACGCAGUAAGGAAAGGUCUUGUAUUAUUGAAAAAGCUACGCUGGGGAUAACAGGCUAAUUGCGCCAGAGAGUACAAAUUGAGUGCGCAGUUUGGCACCUCGAUGUCGGCUUAGCUCAUCCACAUGAAUGCAGGAAUCAUGAAGGGUACGACUGUUCGUCGAUUAAAGAGCUACACGAGCUGGGUUAAAUACGUCGUGAGACAGUAUGGUUUCUAUCUUCUAGAGGAAAUUGGAGUAAAAUAAGGAUAGCCCCUUCGUACGAAAGGAGUUGGGUAUGGUAACCUAUGGUUUACCUGUUGUUUAUGCGCUUAAUAUUAACCUGAUAAAUAACGGCAAGAAUAGGUUCUCCUUAAUAAGUAGAAAAUGGGUAUCUAAAGAAGAAGGAGAGUAAUAUAGAUAGAUUCAUGUGAAUUUAUUACCUAUUUGAGCUAUAGAUGGUAAUACUUUUAUACUCAAGUAUUU